CGGAGGGUCGCGCGCUCUCUCUCUUCCGGGGUCGCGGCGGGUCGGUGCGGGCAGAGUCCACUCUAGCAAGCUCCAGGUCUACACCCGUGGGGGCUGACCGCCCGCCGCCUCCCCGGACCCUGCCGCAGAAGCGGAGCAGGCUGUGUGGACGCGGGGCCCGCAGGCGAGGAGAGGGGGCGGGUCGGGAGGGAGUCUGGGCGCACCCGCCGCAGGCACCGGAGGAGCGCCGGCGUGUGGGCGCCGCCCCCGCGGGAGGAGGAGAAGGCUGGCAGCCGGUGACUGCGUGGGUUCCAUGGAGCAGAAAUGGAGCCCUCUAGCACACAGACUAAAGGCUUUACGCUGCAGGAGAGGAAUCCUAAAAACGUGACCUUGGGACUAUAGCAUGUCGUGGUGUCAACAUUAGGUCACUGUGUUGCUCAAACUGUGUUUCCAGUGACAAUCUAAUUAAAGCUAACAUAGUUAAUAAUAUUAACACGUGAGUGCUUCCUCUCCACAACUCAAAAAAGGUAGGUGUUGAUGUUAUUCCCAUUUUAAAGAUGAGGACACAAGCUCAGGGAAUGACACACAUUUUUUUUUAAUUUAUUUAUUUUUUUAUUGGUUGUUCAAAACAUUACAUAGUUCUUGACAUAUUUCAUACAUUUGAUUCAAGUGGGUUAUGAACUCCCAUUUUUACCUCACAUCGGUUACACAUCCACGUUUUUACAUAUUGCCAAACUAGUGACUGUUGUAUUCUGCUACCUUUCCUAUCCUCUACUAUCCCCCCUCCCCUCCCCUUCCCUCCCCUCCCAUCUUCUCUUUCUACCCCAUCUACUGUAAUUCAUUUCUCUCCCUUGUUUUUUUUUCCCCUUUCCCCUCACAUCCUCUUAUAUGUAAUUUUGUAUAACAAUGAGGGUCUCCUUCCAUUUCCAUGCAAUUUCCCUCCCCUCUCCCUUUCCCUCCCACCUCUCGUCCCUGUUUAAUGUUAAUCUUUUUCUCAUGCUCUUCCUCCCUGCUCUGUUCUUAGUUGCUCUCCUCAGAGCAAAGAAGACAUUUGGCAUUUGUUUUUUAGGGAUUGGCUAGCUUCACUUAGCAUAAUCUGCUCUAAUGCCAUCCAUUUCCCUGCAAAUGCCAUGAUUUUGUCAUUUUUUAGUGCUGAGUAAUACUCCAUUGUGUAUAAAUGCCACGUUUUUUUAAUCCGGGAAUGACACACAUUGUAAAUGGUGGACCCUGGGGAUUUGAACCUACUGCAUCUGGACUGGGAGGAAAAUGCAGAAUGAAAAAGGGGGAUGUCUGGUUAAAAAAAAAAAAGGCACAGCCUGACACCGUGGCUAAAACAGUGCCACUUAGAUCUAGUUUCCCCUGUGCUAGAGUUUUCAUCUGGAAUGCCUCUCAAAGGCCCAUGUGUUAAAGGGGUGGUCCCCCAGCUGGGGGCGGUAGGGAGGUGCGGCCUAGUGAGAGGUCUUCAGAUAAUUGACGUGUACUCUUAAAGGGAAUAAUGGAACCUCAGCCCCUUCUUCUUCCUCUGUUUUCACUUGUCAGGCAUGAAGUGAGUGGGUUUGCUGCCUCACUGAAGCCAGAUUUAAAGAUAGGUAGUUAGUAUAGUUAGGUAAAUUGGUCUAAUAUUGAGUAAAGUAAAGAAAAUGGAGGCCAUUAUUGAGAAUGGAGUCCAGGAAAUCAGAGCAGCACUUGGGGAAAUUGAAAUGUUAAUGUCCCCAAGGCCCAGAACCCAUCCUAAGAAACUGUUAAUGAAACAGCUCCCAGCAAACAGGGAACUAAUCCAAAAACUGCCCCAGGCCCUUCCUGCCCAGAUUACUCCUCCAGCCCACUUAUCUCCCACCUGUUGAGCCUUCCUACCUGCAGACUAUCACUGCAGGAUAAAGGGAAACAAAGGACUUGGAUGUGGGGAAAGUAAAAGAAGACCUUAGCUAUAAAAGAGGGAAGGCCUCCCCCUCCUUUCAGGUUCUCUUCUUCUGGGGAGAAGUCUUUUCUGCUGUCCUUUAAUAAAGCUUUUACUUUCCACUCUACACUUGCCUCAGCAUGCUUCUCUGGUGUUUUACUUCAGCAUUCGGGGAAGCAAGGACUCCUCACUGGUAAAUAGCAGUAACAUCAUCACAGGCUCCAAAGCAACAGGGCCAGUAGAUCAUGAAACCUCCCAAACUGAGCCAAAACCUUUUCUCUUUCUAAGUUAAUUAUCUUUGGUAUUUGUUGCAGUAGUGGAAAGCUGAGGAACAUAUUCACUUGUCUGCCUUCUUGCUUCUUUCUGAGAAUGCAGAUUUUUCCCUGACAAUCAUGGCUGGGAAGCCCCAGACGGGCCAACUCCAGUGGAAGAGAAAGAAGGACCCUCCUCUUAACCCUGCAUGUCUUUGUGGAGCCCUACAUCUAACUGCGACCCUCUCUUAACACCUAUGAAAUUAGUAUUUGUGGAUUUCGUUGGGAGAUUUGGGUAGACCCUGCCCAAAGUGUGAAGGCUCAAAGAGGCAAAGGGCUUCCUCAGAGGAAGCAUAGCAUACUAUUAGCAGAAGAAGAAUGAGUGGCCACUGUACUGCAGAAACAUUAGUGUGGAGGAGGAGAGACCUGGAUUCUAUUGCCUGUGACACAUCCAUUUUUCCCCUUUGGUCUCAGUUUUCUUAUUAAAAGAGGCAUUGAUGGGCUGGGGUUGAGGCUCGGGAUGGGGUUGUGGCUCAGUGGUAGAGCGUUUGCCUAGCACGUGUGAGGCCCUGGGUUUGAUCCUUAGCAUCACAUAAAAAUAAAUAAAUAAAAUAAAGGUAUUGUGUACAUUUACCACUAAAAAAAAUAAUAAUAAGAUAUUUUAAAAAAAAAGAGGCAUUGAUUAGGUGCUCGUGAUGGCUCCUUGCAGUGCUCAUAUACUGUGCCAGUUCCAUACCAGUUUCCUUGAAUUUAGGGUCUGAUACAGCAGACCUGGGACCCCUGUCCUCUCUACCCCCAGUUCUUUCAUUUUGUGCAGAUCUAGCUCCCUUCAAUGGUCAGGAAGUCUAUGUUUUUUGCCCUCACCACAAAGAAUAAUCCUCAUUCCUAUUUUGCUUUAUUUUUACCUCUUUCAUUUCUUGUUUCCUCUGUCUUAACCUUGCCACUUCUUUCCAGGCCAGACAGUGGGUUCAGAUCCCAGCUCUGUCAGUGUGAAUCACUCAGGCUGUGAACCUGAGUCCUGGCUUGUAAGUUAACGCUGUCACUUGCCUCUUUGGGUUGUUGGGAGGAUGAAGUGGAAGGAAUGCAGCAUCCAGCACAGUAUUAUCAUAUCCUCUGCAUAUUUUGAUUUAGGGUACUUGGCCAUUUGCAUCCUUGCUCACUGCUUAGAGUUCUAGAAACACUUGAGGAGCAACACAGGUAGAGGACUGUUUUCUGGAUGAAAGACUUCUUGCAUCUGUGUGUGGUGCUGGAGACAUGGAGGGAUGGCUAAGGAUUGAGGGAGGAAGGGCUACUACACUGCCGAGAUGGUUGCCUAUCAGCUCGGAUCUUGCCCACCAGCUGACCCUCCUUGGUAGCCUCUUUUCUGCCAGUUUCCUGAGCUUUGAGGCCCCAGCUUCAGCAGAAGCUGGCCCUGCCCUGUUCUGAGUGUAGGCUUCCUACACAUAGCACCUACUGUCUGAGGUGUCCUACUCACCUUCUUUCUUCCUGAUCAUUCUCAUUUAGCCUUCAAGUCUCAGGGCAAAGGUCAGCUCUUACCAGAGGGGAAAGUAGGCGUGCAUUUUCAUGCCCUCAUAAUUUGUACAUUCUCCAUUCUGGCCCUUCACAUGAUGUUAUAAUUGUUUUCUCUCCUGUUUCCCUGACCAUGCUGUGAGAUCUUUGAGAGAGUGAUGUUUUCAUACAUAUUCGAAUGUCUAGGGCUUAAUGAUUGGCUAACCCAUGACAGGUACUGCAUUUAUAUUAAGGAAGGAAUACAAUGCCCCCUCACCCUGCAGAAAACCAGCAGGUCAUGCACUGAAAAAUGUUGGAAGAGCCGCAGAGAAAGGGCAGAGAUGAGUCAAACUGGCCAAUCGGUGUCUGUCUCCCUGUCUCUGCUUUCUCUCCUGCCUGCAUCAGCAGUGUAUGUGGCCAUUAGCUGGAGGGGGAAGUGGUUAGUCUUUCUCUCUUUUGCCACGGUUAGAUUCUUUUUUCUUCUGUGAAAGCUUACUUUCUGGGAGUACACUCUUAAUCACAAGUGGUUCCCAGUAUAGUGUUUUUACUUACAUUUUGCUUGCGGUCAUGCCUCCUUUGUAAAGCCAGUCACAUGUCUGGCAGUGAGCCUGGUCCUCCUGAGUGGACCCUGGCCAGCCCUGCUUCUUGGCUUUGUCUGCCUCUUCUCCCCGCUUGGACCUGGAGUGGUCCUCCUUCCUUUACACUCUGCUAAUUAAAUCAAGUUCAACACUUGUUUUUUCCUUGUGCCGAUUAAUGUGCUAAGUGAAGCGGCUAAAAUGUUGUUCCCCCCGCCCUCCCCGAUCCCUGGCAGGGCAAACCGUCUGCAGGAAAGCAAAAUCUGAAAUUCAUGUCCAGGUUCUUAUAUCAAAACACACACAAAAGUGCCCUGCAGUGAAGUAAUGUUUUAUUUCUAAAAACACAAAUAAAUAAACCACCAAAGAUUAGAACCCUAAAUCUUCUAGAAUUUAAAACAGAUAAACAGUGGACCAGACCUAGAAGUCAAUGAUAGUCCCUUAGCCCUGUCUAGAUUAGUCUCAAGUUUGAGACUAACCUAGACAGCUUAAUGAGAUGCUGUCUCAAAAUAAAAAGGUCUGGGGAUGUAGCUCAGUGGUAGAAUGGAUUAUGUAAAGUCAGUUGUGCAAGCAUGGCUGAAUGAGACCUUCCUUUGAAAGACGUUUAUAGAUUUUCCUAUGAGUUAUGUUCUUCCUUAGCACUAUUGUCUCUUCACAUUGGCCAGAGAUAUUUUCAUCUCAGGCUGAAAAAGCACAAUAGGAAAAGAACAAUAUACAAGAGGGCCGGAGAGUCCGCAUGCAACCUGUGGGGUUUUGAGUUCUGUGCAUACAGGUGUUUCAUUAAGGGUUGAGCAGGAUAAACUGAUAUGGUCCAUGGUAAAGUACAAGGGUCAGGAGUAGAAGGAAAGCCAGCUUUACUCACUUAACAGAAACUACUCUCCAGGAAGCGAGAUAAAACUUGCACUCCUACCUUUAUUUAAAACCCCUACUCUUUAUGUACUGGUAGACACACACCCUUCUGUAUUUAGGAGGAGGCUGGAGCUUGCUUUAUGCAUGAUUCUCUUCUCUGCCACAUGACUGCUAUUGGUGGAUAACAGUUUGAGGAGUGUCUAAUGAUGGUAAAAUCACAGGUUGUCUUCAGAAACCCAAGUAUAAUCCAUGUAUGUUAUACCUAUAUGUGAAAGCAUACCUGGGUUGGGGUAUAGCUGAUUGGUUCAGUGCUUAUCUAGCACAGUUGGGGCCCUGGGUUUAAUCCCUAGCAUUGCAAAAAUAAAUAAAUAAAGGGAACAUGCCUCCUGUAUAUUUUGGUUUUAGAAAUAUAAUUUGUUGCAUCAGUUAUUGAAACUAAAUGAUCUUUCAUUGUACUUGUGUUUUAUAAUCAUGUACACAAAUGAGUUUUAUUAGGAUCAUUACUCCAGGUGAUUUUUUUCAAUCCUAAGCCUCAUCAGCUCGCUCUCCAACACAGAAAUGGAACUUUGCCAACUGUUGCUGCAGGCAGGAUUUGCCCUCCACAGGACCUGAAAAGGCACUUCCUGGUCUCUGCUCCGCUGAGCCUCACAGGGCACUGAGCAUGCAGGGCACUGAGCAUGCAGGGCACUGAGGAUUCUUGCCACCCAGCCAGCAGGUGGGAACUUCUAUAAUAUUCAGUUAUGCUUCUCUAAACCUCUUCAAAAGCCAGUCGUGUACAGUGAUCAGAAUUAGAUGAACAAAGAAAUAAUACAUUUUUUCAACGAGAAAAGCUUAAGGAAAUUGUAUAGACACUUUUGAAAGUAAAAGGGGAUGCUAACUAGAUGAUCUGAUAGGACAAGAGGCCUAAGCCUAACUAAACAUAUGGCCACUCUCAGGAUAGAUGUACAGGAGAAAAACAGAAUAAACCUUUUAAGAGAUAAUAAAGGAAAUAUUCUACAUGGGCAUAGCCUGCAAUCCCAGCUACCCAGGAGAGUGUAGCAGGAUAAUCUCAAGUUUGAGGCUAACCUGGACAGCUUGGUGAGAUGCUGUCUCAAAAUAAAAAGGUCUGGGGAUGUAGCUCAGUGGUAGAACACUUGCCUAGCAUUCACAAAGUCUGGGUUCAAUCUCCAGUAUCAAAAAAGAAACGAGUAGAGUGCAUGUCUCUCAUGCACAAAGCCCUGGGUUCAGUCCCAGCACCACAGAAAGAAAAGGAAAUAUCCCAAAGAUCUUGAAAUAAGGAAGAAUUAGAAAAAACCAAAGACACAGCAGGGCACAGUGACACUCGCCUAUAAUCCCAGCAGCUUGGGAGGCUGAGACAGGACUGUGAGUUCAAAGCCAGCUCAGCAACAGUGAGGCACUAAGCAACUCAGUGAGACCCUGUCUCCAAGUACAAAAAAGGGCUGGGGAUGUGGCUCAGUGGUUCAGUGCUCCUGAGUUCAACCCCUGCUCCCCACUGGAAAAAAAAAAACAACAACAACACAAAAGGAACUAACCUUAAAGAAAAAAACAGAUACAUUCAACUACUUUAAAAUCAAGAGCUUUUCUUUACAGACACCAUUAAGAGGGGGAAAAGGUGAGCACAGAGUGAGAGAAGGUAUUUGCAACACACAACCAACAAAGAGCUAGGAUCCAGAACACAGGAAGAAGUGCAAAUUGUGGGGAAAAGACCUACAUGAAGUGGGGGGAGAAAAAGGCAAAGGACAUCAAGAGGCAUUUGGAAAAAAAGAAAAAAACAAAUGGCCAAUAAACACAGAAACUGCUCCUCCUCAGUAGUAAGCAGGGAAAUGCUGUCACUGGGGAAAUCAGUGACAUCACCAAGAAAGGUGGAGGUGGGAGCUCCCUGAGGCCUUAACUGUACACACAGCAGAGAACAUCAGGGAGUCCUUGGCAGCGCUGUUCCUAACAGCCCUGAUGUGCAUCCCCAGUGGGGUUGGUGGAUAAUUGUGAUGUGGUCCUACAGUGGAAUGUUUUUGGUGACACAAAAUGAAUAGGGUACAACUAAAUGUGACAACAUGAAUGAUUCUUGAACAUGUGCUAAACAAAACAAAAAAACAGUCUUUGUGAUAUUAUUUAUAUGUGAAGUUCAAAAACAGCAAGAACUUCAUCAUAAUGGCUGAAGGUGUGUGUUUGAUGAUGAAAAAUAAGGUACCCAGGCAAAGUGUGCACUCCUGUAAUCGGAGCCACUGGGGAGGCUGAGGCAGGAGGACCUAAGUUCAAGGCCAACCUCAGCAAUUUAGCAAGACCUUGAGCAACUUAGUGAGACCCUUUCUCAAAAUAAAAACUAAAAAGGACUGGGGAUGUAGCUCAGUAGUAAUGUCCCUGGAUUCCAUCCCUAGUACAAAAAAAAAAAAGAAAAGAAAGGAUUAAGGCAAAGGAAGUAUUACCAUAAUGUUACCUUUGGAGUACCAAGGGGACAUGUAGACCUGGGGGUGUUCCAAUUCUUGACAGGGGUGAUGAUUAUUUAAGUUUAAAUUGAUUCGCAACAUUUAUGUCCCCUACACACUUUGUAUUAUGUUUUACAAUGAUUUUUUUUUCUUUUUUCUUAAAAAGGACAUGGUAAAAGCAGCUGUUUUUACAUGAUUUCACAUGAAUGACAUAACUAAUCCAGUACCAUAUCCAAUUGCUUAAAAUGCCUUGUCUUGAACAACCCAGAGAAAAGACAAGAUAAUGGGCCUAGGAGGGCCCUGGGGUGAUGGUGACACCAUCUCUUUCAUACAUAAUUUGAUUCAAAAUAUUUACAUAAAACCAGACUGGAGAAAGCUGGAGACAGCCAUUUGGAGCACGUUCUUUGGGCUGCGGACUCUGGAGUCUAUCAUGCUCGGCCACUCCGGUGCAGAUGAAGCCGCUGGGGCCCGAAGGGAUGUCACUCCCUGGAUAAGCUGCUCGGGUUUCACGUUCUGCCACCACCGAUUCGUGUCCAGCCGUGGUGGUUUUCCGCGCAGGAACUGAACGAACCUUUGGUGUUUCACCUGGACCCCUGGCUGGUAGACCCAAUUUUUGGCCAAGACGGAACCGUACUCUCGGAAAUGGAGUGGAUGAGCCAGGCUUUGCUGAGGGUGGACCCAACCGACACCAGGGAACUAGUCGAAAUCACCGUGUUUGGGCAGCCCGGCGUGAAGACUCGGGUAAAGAACAUUCUCCAGAGCCUGGCAGUGUGGUUCCGAGAACUUCGUGACCAACGGGCUAAGAAGAUAAAACGCCUUGAGGAGUUCUUGAAGGCUCAUUCACCAUAUCCAGAAACUAUCCAGCAUCCAGUUUAAUACAAACAAGAUGGCAAUAAUUAGACCAAUGAGGACAGCCUGCUGAAGAGAUGGAAGACAAGUAUUCUUAAAUCUCUACAUUACUUUUUCCUGUGCCUUUUGAAUAGUGGUUUAUUUUGUGGUAAAUGUAUUUGUAGAACUAUUCUAAUGAAAUUUGUCUGGAAUAGUCUUUUCACGUGAAAUAAAGCAAAUUUACAAAAAAAAAUAUUUACAUAAAAC
rnacentral:lncRNA from 1 species